CUUGACAUACUGAUGACAGGUCUAGAGAUAGUAUUUUCCCUUUUAGGGCAUCGGAUACAGGUGGUGCAUGGUUGUCGUCAGCUCGUGUCGUGAGAUGUUGGGUUAAGUCCCGCAACGAGCGCAACCCCUUAUUGUUAGUUGCCAUCAUUAAGUUGGGCACUCUAGCGAGACUGCCAGUAAUAAACUGGAGGAAGGUGGGGAUGACGUCAAAUCAUCAUGCCCCUUAUGACCUGGGCUACACACGUGCUACAAUGGGAAGUACAACGAGUUGCGAGGCGGUGACGCCAAGCUAAUCUCUUAAAGCUUCUCUCAGUUCGGAUUGUAGGCUGCAACUCGCCUACAUGAAGUCGGAAUCGCUAGUAAUCGCGGAUCAGCACGCCGCGGUGAAUACGUUCCCGGGCCUUGUACACACCGCCCGUCACACCACGAGAGUUUGUAACACCCGAAGUCGGUGAGGUAACCGUAAGGAGCCAACCGCCUAAGGUGGGAUAGAUGAUUGGGGUGAAGUCGUAACAAGGUAGGCGUAGAUGA
rnacentral:rRNA from 1 species